UACGGAGGAUGUAAGCGUUAUCCGGAAUGAUUGGGCGUAAAGGGUCCGCAGGUGGCAGUGUAAGUCUGCUGUCAAAGAAUGAGGCUUAACCUUAUCAAGGCAGUGGAAACUACACAGCUAGAGUACGGUCGGGGUAGAAGGAAUUCCUGGUGUAGCGGUGAAAUGCGUAGAGAUCAGGAAGAACACCGGUGGCGAAAGCGUUCUGCUAGACCUGUAUUGACACUGAGGGACGAAAGCUAGGGGAGCGAAUGGG
rnacentral:rRNA from 1 species